rnacentral:rRNA from 1 species
AGUGAACGCUGGCGGCAGGCCUAACACAUGCAAGUCGAGCGGCAGCGCGGGGGCAACCCUGGCUGCGAGCGGCGGACGGGUGAGGAAUUCGUCGGAAUCUGCCUUUUUGUGGGGGAUAACGUAGGGAAACUUACGCUAAUACCGCAUACGUCCUACGGGAGAAAGUGGGGGACCGCAAGGCCUCACGCAGAAAGAUGAGCCGACGACCGAUUAGCUAGUUGGUGGGGUAAAGGCCCACCAAGGCGACGAUCGGUAGCUGGUCUGAGAGGAUGAUCAGCCACACUGGGACUGAGACACGGCCCAGACUCCUACGGGAGGCAGCAGUGGGGAAUAUUGGACAAUGGGCGCAAGCCUGAUCCAGCCAUGCCGCGUGUGUGAAGAAGGCCUUCGGGUUGUAAAGCACUUUUGUCCGGAAAGAAAUCCCUGGAGCUAAUACCUUCGGGGGAUGACGGUACCGGAAGAAUAAGCACCGGCUAACUUCGUG